rnacentral:rRNA from 1 species
GAUGAACGCUAGCGACAGGCUUAACACAUGCAAGUCGAGGGGCAUCACGGGUAGCAAUAUCUGGUGGCGACCGGCGAACGGGUGAGUAACGCGUAUGCAACCUACUUGUAAACGGGAGACAACCUGGAGAAAUUUGGGCUAAACUUCCAUGAGGCAUUAUUACUGCAUGGUAAUGAUGUCAAACGUAAGGUUUACAAAUGGGCAUGCGUAUGAUUAGCUAGUUGGUAGGGUAAUAGCCUACCAAGGCGACGAUCAUUAGGGGUUCUGAGAGGAAGGUCCCCCACAUUGGAACUGAGAUACGGUCCAAACUCCUACGGGAGGCAGCAGUGAGGAAUAUUGGUCAAUGGACAGAAGUCUGAACCAGCCAAGUCGCGUGAAGGAAGAAGGUCUUACGGAUUGUAAACUGCUUUUGUACGGAACGAAAAGACUCUUUCUAAUAAAGAGGGUCCAUGACGGUACCGUAAGAAUAAGCACCGGCUAACUACGUGCCAGCAGCCGACGGUAAAGAGUAGUACA